AUUUUUAUGUAGUGUGUUUCUGAAGCAGCAAAAUACGUAUUCUGUUUUCAUGUGACAUGAAGAGAGAUAGGUAAAUGUUGGAAGGUAAUUAGAGCUAAAUUAUAAUUUCACUCAUUUUGCCUGUCUAAGGACCUGUCAACAAACUUUUUGUAUUUUUUUUUAUCUCUGCCAUUUCCUUCUGGCAUAGAUACAGUGUUUCACUGGAAUGAAGUGCCAGCUUGGGAAAAACAGCUCAAUAUAUUUUAUGUUAGUGCUCAAUAAAAGUGCGUACGAAGGAAAUGCAUGUUUGGUGAGAUUUAUGAGGUUUGUAGAGAGAUUUAUAUUCACACUGAUGCUGAGUGCUUUCAUAUUUUUAUGCUUCUCCUUCCUGAAAGCGAAGACUCCUACAUGUGUUGUCAGCUAACAGGCAGAAAGUGGCCCUGCAUUUAGGAAAAAAAAUAAAGUUGGUGCAAAAUUAAAUAACCCAGUGAAAUUGGGGGGUGUAUAGGAAGAAGAAAAAGGUGUUUAUACUCCCUAGUCUCACUGCAGUCUAAUUGAACUCAAGGCUUGAUCCAUAUCAUUCAAUUAAAAAGUAUUGUAACCUGGGCACAAGCUCUUUUUAACUCCAUCAUUUAAUUAAACUGGAUAGUUAAAUGCUUACAAAUAAAAAUUUGACAAAUCAGAGACAGAAUGCACAGUAUAAACUAAGGCCUUAAUAUUUUUAACAUAUUGUUGUUGCUCUUGAGCAGUAUGUAGAGCAGUAUGUAGAGAAGGAAGUGUAGCUUGACUUUGCAAAGGCAGCGUCCGCCUUCUUAUUAUCUUGAAUAUGGGGGUCUGGAAAUGGAGGAGGAAGCACUGCAUGAAAACAGUUUACAUGGAGAGUAAUUCAGGGUAUUCCUCAGUGUUACUCAUAAUUGGAGAGUAACUUUUAAAGUCACUUUUUGAAGCAAGCCAGUGUCAUUUUUAACCCAUCACAGUGUGGAUUAAAUCACUGUUCCGUCACAUGCAGUGCAUGCAGGAACGUGGCUGCAGCCGGCCUAACCUGCAUCAGGAAGAGUAAUCCAGAAAUACAAAGUUCCUUACAAUCAUCUCCUGUUUUCUGAAACUUUAAGGUGUAUUUUUUUCAAAUUGCUCCACUUUUGAAAAUCUUAAAACAGAAAUGGGAGAAAAAAAAUGUCUGGCGGGUUUCUAUCAAAUCAAAUUUCUCAUAUGAUUUGUAGUAAGAGUAGCACAGAAAGACAGAGGAAGUAGUAUGUGCAUUAUCCUGGCUGUUAAAAAGUAUUAUUCUGUCCUUACGCAAAUGGUUCCUUGAUCAGUAGAACCAAUGCAAUUAGCUUCCUAUGAAUAUGUUUUCUUAGGAAUUUUUCUUAGGGAUUUUCUGAUACUUACAGAGUGAACUCAUACUGAUGAUCUUUAAGUGGUCAUGCUAAUGACAAUUUGAGCAUAUUCUGAUCAAACUCCUCUAUCUUGUACUUAAGUGUGGCUGAAAUAAGCUGGCGGUUUCAAAAGAUCCUGGGCAUGAAUAAAGAAAGACUAACAUAGAUGCUCAAUUGGAAACAGCAGAAGUUUUCAGCAUUUGUGCUUUUUGGGAUGACCUUUAUCAAAUGAAAUAUUAGUCUUUCAGUGCUCAUUGUUUUGAGUCCAUGUGUGAAGUAGAUGGGAUAUUUUCAUAAUGUGGCUCAAAUUGCACUUCAAUCUGAAUUUAAAAUAUUCUGAGUACUGCUGGGAUUUGCUGGUCAUCUUCUGAAGUGUCUGAAAUAUCUUAGUUAAUAUUACCUCAAGGAACUGAAAGCACCAGAAAUCGCAUAGUCAGAUAUGUUGCCUUUUGGUAAAUAAAUCGUGACUUCCAGAAAAGAAGAGGCAGAACAGCAUGCAAACAUUUUCAGUUUAUUCUUAAUUACUCUGCCAAUCCUAGGAACUCUUUUCUUUUUUAUAUGAACCACCGAUUGUUGUUCAAAAUUGUUUUAAAUAAUAAAUUCAUGCUUGAAACUUUUUAAAGAGGACAACAAAGCUGCAGAUUGUGGCCUCUGGGAGAGUAAAUGCCAGGGUUAAUUUAUAACUAAAGCAAAUGUAUCUGUAAAAAGAAGAAAAGUUCCAUAAGAAAUAUGUUAAUGACAAGAAAAAAAGAGGCUUGAUAAAAGAUAUCAGAACUUGUUUGGCACCAGUGAUUUUAUGACUGAGGAAUUCAAUUAUAGGUGUGUUGUGAGAACCAAAUCACAAUUCUUUAAAUUGCUAAUGGGAGACAAAGCUCUUUAUCGUGCUCUGAAUGUGUUCACAUGAAAUGUGCAGUCCUGCCCUCUGUAAAUAAACUUCUGGUGUCUACACUAUGCAUAUGCAUUGGAAGUCUGUGUCACUGAAAUAGGAAAAGAUGCAUGAUUUCUCUUUCUGUUGUAUGACUUUUCAAACAUGUCUGCUUCUAUACUCUUCCAUUAGAAAUGAGGUUAACCAACCAUCCUGUAUGUCUGUACUACUCAGCUUUGUAAUUUUU
rnacentral:lncRNA from 1 species